rnacentral:rRNA from 1 species
GACGAACGCUGGCGGCGUGCCUAAUACAUGCAAGUAGAACGCUGAAGGAGGAGCUUGCUCUUCUGGAUGAGUUGCGAACGGGUGAGUAACGCGUAGGUAACCUGCCUGGUAGCGGGGGAUAACUAUUGGAAACGAUAGCUAAUACCGCAUAAAAUUGAUUAUUGCAUGAUAGUCAAUUAAAAGAUGCAAUUGCAUCACUACCAGUUGGACCUGCGUUGUAUUAGCUAGUUGGUGAGGUAACGGCUCACCAAGGCAACGGUACAUAGCCGACCUGGGAGGGUGAUCGGCCACACUGGGACUGAGACACGGCCCAGACUCCUACGGGGGGCAGCAGUAGGGAAUCUUCGGCAAUGGACGGAAGUCUGACCGAGCAACGCCGCGUGAGGGAAGAAGGGUUUCGGAUCGUAAAGCUCUGUUGUAAGAGAAGAACGAGUGUGAGAGUGGAAAGUUCACACUGUGACGGUAUCUUACCAGAAAGGGACGGCUAACUACGUG